rnacentral:lncRNA from 1 species
AUAAUAUCAAAAAAUUGCAUAAUUUAUUUUCUAAGUACUUCAAAUACUCUAAAUCAAGUUUAACGAAGCCGAUCGACAAUUCGAAAGUCACAACAUGAAAAACGAUCUGGAAGCACGGAAGGCUUCAUGCUUCCAGAAGCAUAGUAGCCUCACUAUAUAUAUAUAUGCUAGGGCUACUAUACUCUUAUAAGUAUCGAGCCCUUCAUACUUAUAAGUUAAGUAUAGAGCUCUUCAUAUUUAUAAAUUAUUUUCAAUGAUGAAGCUUCUGAAUCGACGAUCCAUUCCGUUAAAUAUAAUCUAGAGUAUUUGAAAUUUAUAGAAAAUAAAUUUCGUAAUUUUUUAAAAUUAUAAUAAAGUUCAUCAAGCGGGUAUAAAAUGAACGGUCAAAAUCGAACGACGUCUUAAAAAUGGAUGAUCAGAUCCUUCAAUUUAAGAUCGAAGUUAUUGAUCUUUAUCUAUGUAAUGAAUAGAAUUUUCUAUCAAAACUUCAACUGAUUCCGAUUCUUUUAUAUCGUUAAACUAGCAAAUAUUUUAUAUUGGUCGUUAAAAAUUAUAAAUUUUGUGACAUUUUGAUCGUAAGGUAAAUGAUGUCAAAAAAUUAUAAAAUUUGAUUUCUAAACGUUUUAAAUGUUCGAGAUAACGUUUAACGGUGUAGAUCGUUAAUUCGGACUAUAUAUAUACAUAAGGGUUAUCAAAAGUAUGGAGGCUUCUGUGUUCCUAAGACAAACUUUCGAAUCGACGAUGAACUCCGUUAGAUUUGAUCUAACAUAUUCGAAGUAUGUCAAAAUAAACAUUGUAAUUUUUCGAUAUUAUUUAUUUAACAAUCGAAAGGGUUCAAAAUCAAUGGCUGAAUAUAAAAAUCUCACAAAAAGUGGUUAUAUAGCAUUAAAAUUUUCAAUCGAAAAUAUUGAUCUUGUUGUAAAUAGUAUAAAAAAAUUUCUAUCAAAAUUUUAUCUGAUUUGAAUACUUUUGUACUGUUAAACUUUCAAACGGUAUACAUCAACUAUUAAAAAUUGUUGAUUUUGAUCCUUUCAAUCGUUAGGUAAAUAAUAUCAAAAAAUCACAAAAUUUAUUUUUCUAGAUACUUUAAAUACGCUAGAUUAAGUCUAACGAACCCGAUCGUCAAUCAGAAAGUUCCAUCGAAGGACUACGUGUUUCUAAUAACACACAA